rnacentral:rRNA from 1 species
UACGGAGGAUCCAAGCGUUAUCCGGAAUUAUUGGGUUUAAAGGGUUUGUAGGCGGUUUUAUAAGUCAGUGGUGAAAUCCGGCAGCUCAACUGUCGAACUGCCAUUGAUACUGUAGAACUUGAAUUACUGUGAAGUAACUAGAAUAUGUAGUGUAGCGGUGAAAUGCUUAGAUAUUACAUGGAAUACCAAUUGCGAAGGCAGGUUACUAACAUUAUAUUGACGCUGAUAGACGAAAGCGUGGGGAGCGAACAGG